CUUCCAUUGAUUGCUGCUGUGAGAAAGGAGAUUUCAGACGAGACAGAUCGAGAAACUGGCCGCAGCAAACAAAUUUAUAGUGUUCCAAUCCAUCUUAGCAUAUAUUCUCCUAAUGUUGUCAACUUGACACUUAAUUGAUCUUCCCGGGCUUACAAAAGUGGCUGUUGAGGGUCAAUCGGAUACUAUUGUGCAAGACAUUGAAAAUAUGGUUCGCUCCUACAUUGAGAAGCCCAACUGUAUAAUUCUAGCAAUUUCACCUGCUAAUCAAGAUCUCGCUACAUCUGAUGCAAUUAGAAUCUCUCGUGAAGUGGAUCCAGCAGGGGAGAGGACACUUGGAGUCUUAACGAAGAUUGAUCUUAUGGACAAGGGUACUGAUGCAGUUGAAAUAUUGGAAGGAAAGUCAUAUCGGCUAAAAUUUCCUUGGGUUGGGGUCGUGAAUCGCUCACAAGCGGACAUUAACAAGAAUGUUGACAUGAUUGCUGCCCGGCGUAGAGAACGCGAGUAUUUUUCUACUACCCCAGAAUACAAGCACCUUGCUCCAAGAAUGGGUUCUGAGCAUCUAGCAAAAAUGCUUUCUAAGCAUUUGGAAACAGUAAUUAAGUUGAAAAUCCUGGGGAUCCAGCCCCUCAUUAGCAAGACCGUUGCUGAACUUGAAGCUGAACUGAGUCGCCUUGGAAAGCCCAUUUCUGCAGACGCUGGAGGAAAACUGUAUACAAUCAUGGAGAUAUGUCGUCUAUUCGAUGGAACUUAUAAAGAACAUCUUCUCGGUAGGCGCCCUGGCGGUGAUAAGAUUUACAACGUUUUUGAUAACCAGCUUCCUGCUGCUCUAAAAAGAUUGCAAUUUGACAAGCAACUUUCAAUGGAAAAUAUAAGGAAGCUCAUUACUGAAGCUGAUGGAUAUCAACUUCAUCUAAUAGCUCCUGAACAAGGUUACCAUGGUCAUUGAAUCCUCUGUAAUUACUAUUAGAGGUCCUGCUGAGGCAGCUGUUGAUGCGGUUCAUGCCAUUUUGAAGGAUCUGGUUCACAAGUCUGUUAAUGAGACUCCAGAGCUAAAGCAGUAUCCUGCUCUUAGAGUUGAGGUUACACAUGCAGCUAGUGAUUCCCUUGAGAGGAUGAGAGAAGAAAGUAAGAAGGCAACACUAAAGCUAGUUGAUAUGGAGUGUAGUUAUCUGACAGUUGAUUUCUUCCGUAAACUUCCUCAAGAUGUUGAGAAGGGUGGCAACCCAUCACAUUCGAUUUUCGAUAGAUACAAUGAUUCAUAUCUCAGGCGAAUUGGGAUAACGGUUCUGGCUGACGUCAAUAUGGUAUGUGCAAGUUUGCGUAACUCCAUCCCCAAGUGUAUUGUCUAUUGCCAAGUCUGAGAGGCAAAACGAAGCUUUCUUGACCAUUUCUACACUGACUUGGGAAAAUUGGAGACAAAGCAGUUGUCCUCAUUACUGAACGAGGAUCCGGCAAUAAUGGAGAGGCGUUCUGCCCUCACGAAGAGGCUGGAGUUAUACAGAAGUGCUCAAGCAGAAAUUGAUUCAGUUGCUUGGGCUAAGUAGGCAUGCAUCACAUGCACCAUUUCUUUUCGGAUGUGGAUUUUGUCGAGAAGGCCACACAAUUCAUUCAUUUAAGAUUUUUUUGUAAUGGGGGAAAUGAGGGGGGUUUUGGGAGCCCCCUUGUUUCAUUUUAGCCUUCAUUUUAUGUACUAACAAAUUGACAAGGGGUGAUGCCAUCUUUUACUUGAUGUCGUUAUGCUUGUUUUUUCAACUGUGACAUUUAUAUACUACAUAUGAUUUGCUAAAUGGAUGUCAUAUUUUUUAA